rnacentral:rRNA from 1 species
UACGUAGGUGGCAAGCGUUGUCCGGAAUUAUUGGGCGUAAAGCGCGCGCAGGCGGCCUCUUAAGUCUGAUGUGAAAGCCCCCGGCUCAACCGGGGAGGGCCAUUGGAAACUGGGAGGCUUGAGUAUAGGAGAGAAGAGUGGAAUUCCACGUGUAGCGGUGAAAUGCGUAGAGAUGUGGAGGAACACCAGUGGCGAAGGCGGCUCUCUGGGACGGUACUGACGGCUGAGACGCGAAAGCGUGGGGAGCGAACAGG